GACAGCACAGAGCCCAAUGCUGCCAGAACUCGCAAGCCGUGAGAUUGUGACCUGAGCUGAAGUCCUGCGAUUAACACCCGAGCCACCCAGGUGCCCUUAACUCUUCCCUCUUGAUAUUCGCAUCCCGUGCACUUUUCUCCACCUUGAUGCACGCUGACCAGUACGAUAUUAUGACUGAGAGAACAUGGAAACGAUGAGGUGUUACUUUGGAGGCUAGGUCAUAGAAGGCAUUGCCAGUUGUGCCUUCCUCUGUCCUGGAUCACUGGCUCUGGGGAAGACAGUUGUCACGAACACAGUUAAGCAGCCUCGUGAAGAGGUCUUUGUGGUGAAGAACUGAGGCCUCCUGUCAACAGCCAUCACCAGAUUGCUAGCUCUGUCCACAUUCCAUUUUGGAAUUGGCUCUUCCUGCCCCCACCAAGCCUUCAGAUGAGCGCAGCCCUGGCGGACACGUCCCGGGAAACCCUGAGCCACAACUACCCAGGUGGAUGGAGUCUUACAGCCGUGGUGUUAGGAUGAGCAGAUGAUGUCAUGUGACAUACCCAAUUUCAGAAGCUAGAGAGGAAAUAUUCAUUAAACUUCAAGUGUGAAUUGACACAGGCAUCAAAGGAAAUAGCACGUAAAAGAAACAGCACAGAGUUCCCCACUGAUUUUCUACAACAUGAGAACAAUUAUUCUACAGACUCCGUUAUAACUGCUCGGACAUUACCCGUUGCUCAGCUGGGAGAGCUCAGCCUGCAAGG